rnacentral:rRNA from 1 species
GAUCCCAUCAGAACUCCGAAGUUAAGUGUGCUUGGGCGAGAGUAGUAUUAGGAUGGGUGACCUCCUGGGAAGUCCUUGUGUUUCACCC